rnacentral:rRNA from 1 species
AGAGUUUGAUCAUGGCUCAGAACGAACGCUGGCGGCAUAGCUAAGACAUGCAAGUCGAACGGAUUAUUUUGAAGAGUAAUCGGAUGAAUAGUUAGUGGCGAAAGGGUGAGGAAUGAAUAGGUAACGUACCCCGAACUUUGGGAUAGCGUCUGGAUGCUUGCAUCCUUCCGAAAGGGGCGGUAAUACUGAAUGAUAUCAUAUAUCUAAAGUUAUAUGAUCAAAGAUUUAUCGGUUUGGGAGCGGCCUAUUUCCUAUCAGCUUGUUGGUGAGGUAAUGGCUCACCAAGGCGACGACGGGUAGCGGGACUGAGAGGUCGGCCCGCCACAUCGGGACUGAGACACUGCCCGGACCUCCACGGAGGGCUGCAGUAACGAAUAUUGCGCAAUGGACGAAAGUCUGACGCAGCAAUGCCGCGUGUAGGAUGAAGCCCCUCGGGGUGUAAACUACUGUCAGGGGUUAGAAAGUCUUCGGAUUGAUCAGCCCCAGAGGAAGUCACGGCUAACUUCGUGCCAGCAGCCGCGGUAAUACGAAGGUGGCGAGCGUUGUUCGGAAUCACUGGGCUUAAGCGCACGCAGGCGGAAUAAAAGUGUCUUGUGAAGCCCCGGCUUACCGGGGAAUUGUCGGCAAUACUAUUCUGAGU